rnacentral:rRNA from 1 species
UACGUAGGGUGCAAGCGUUGUCCGGAAUUAUUGGGCGUAAAAGAGCCUCGUGAGGCGGUCUGUCGCGUCUGCUGUGAAAACUCAGGGCUUAACCCUGAGCUUGCAGUGGGUACGGGCAGACUAGAGUGCGGUAGGGGAGACUGGAAUUCCUGGUGUAGCGGUGAAAUGCGCAGAUAUCAGGAAGAACACCCGUGGCGGAAGGCGGCUCUCGUGGGACGGU